rnacentral:rRNA from 1 species
AUUAAAGUUAAUUUUGCUUUUUUUGGUUAAUUCUUUUUUGUUAAUUUUAUAUACUAAUAUUUGUUAGAUUUAAUUUUUGUCUUAAUGAUUAAAUUUAUAAUUAUUUGUAGUUUUUACUUUUGGUUUUAAAUAAAUUAAUUUAUUCCCAGUUAAUUUUAUCUAGGAUUGUGCAAGGUUGUGCCAGCACAUGCGGUUAUACAUCUUAAUCCAAGUUAACUUUUUUAGUUAGUAUUAAUUUAUUUUGUUUAGAAUUUAAUUUUUUUUAUAAGGUGAAAUUUUUAAUUAAAUAUAUAUUUUUAAGGUUAAGAUAAUACGAAAUUUAGGAUUUAAACUAGGAUUAGAUACCCUAUUAUUCUAAAUUUAAAAUAAUUACUAUAGUAUUAAUAGUUAAGAUCUUUAAAUUAAAAAAAUUUGGCGGUAAUUUAGUCCUUUCAGAGGAACC